GAUGUCAAUUACGGAAAAUUUCUAGACAAAUCUUUGCAAUCAGUACCAAAAACACAGCAAAAAUAAGAGACAUAACAAUGCAGUAAUACCGAAACCAGUUCCUUGUUGCCAUUUGAUUGAUUUUGCAUGUCGUCCUGAAUGUUUUCCUAAUCAAUCAUUGGUUGCGGCAGAGAGACGAAGUUGAAUGCCCACGAGAUAGAUGAUCGAAGUUCAUCCAUUGUCUCUUUGGUUUCGAAACUUUACAACUGCGCAGCAGUUUUUAAACCGACAUUUCUCUGCUAUCUCUCGUUGCGCGUGUAUGCACUUGAAGUGGGUUAUUUGGUUAAAAAGUUAUCCUUUAAUCAGUCACGGAUCGAACAAGUCCGCCCAAUCAAGACCGAACGAUCUCUUGUUUUCUUUUCGAGACUCGUUUCGGUUUGAUUUUUUAACGACCUCCAGACUUGAGCCGAGUAUUACCUUCAGUGUCGUACAGUACAAAGUUAACGACCUAAGCCCAGCCUUCAACUUAUUAUUUUUGGCCUCGUUUUGUAACAAGCUGACAAGGUUUCAAGUUCAAGUGGGUUAACGGUAUUUUGCAUUUGGCCGCAGCUCCGUCUGGAAGGACUCGAGGCUUACAUGGGCCGUAAGAAGAGAGAGAUACAUAUAUUUUACGAGCAUCUUUGGCUUCUUUGGACUUUCACCGUCUGUGUUACUGGCUGUGGUUCAAAACUGGAGGGUCCGGGUUCAUGGCCUGAAGAAACAGAGAGAGAAAGAGAGAGAGAAAAGGGUCACAAAGGACAUGGGGGGACUGCUGUCUGCUGAGCUGUAAAGGGCUGUCAACCGAGGACGUAGUGUCAUGGGCGCAUGUUUUCUUGAACUUCUUCUUCUAUUGUUGUAUCGAGAAAAGAAAACAACUCUUCGUAGACAAAACAGACAUUGUCUCUGGCUCUCGCAGAUUCACAAAUAUAGCAGCUAGCCGACUUUAUUGAUAUUCUGCUGGCUAGUGCGCAGCAGACACAAGAUAGAGUCAACGACCACGAAAGAGAGUCGAGAGAGAAAACGUGUCUUUCCUUUUAUUUUAUUUUAUUUUAUUUUAUUUUUUUCGUUUUUCUCGUUGCGGUUAAGGGCUGUGCAGAUCUCGUGUUGAUUUUUCUUGGAAAUACACAGCGAUUCUACACCUUCAUUGAAACUCUAUAGAUGGAGCUGCAACAAAAAUGAUUUCUGGGUUAGAUAUAUAGAUAUAGGCUAUAGAGUGGUAAUUUUUUUUUUUUUUCUUUGUUAAACGAGAGACAAUUUCAGGUCACGUCCUCUUUGGAUUUGUGUCACGUUUAGCCGACACUUCUCUAGGGCUCACCAUUUAUUAGUUUAUUUUUAUUUUUUGGCUUCUUAAUAUAUUUUUCUUUGCUGUUUUUUUUUUUUUUUAGCAGGGAUAAAUAUAGGGCGCAUAGUCGCGUGUCUCUUUUGUUUUUUACUAUGGAAAUUUUACACAAUAAAAAUCCGCUGAUGAAAGAAACCGCAAAUAUGUACUCGGCACGUCUUUUUUUGAAUACGUUCCAACUUUUUUUUUUUUUUUUUUAAGGACUGUUGGAAGGAUGGAAGAAAUAAACUGUCAAGCGAAAAGAGUCGGUGCUACUGUGCUGGUCAUCGUUCUUUUUUUUCAUUCUCCGCUACAUAUAUUUCUUUUUCCACCCCCCAAGACUAUUUUUGUGCUGACGUACUUGCAACGCCACACUCAGACGGCAGCCAUUUCUAAUAGUGAACGGCAGAGUCUCGAUAUAGAUUACAUGGAAGCCUCUCCCGUUUUGGUACCGCCCGCACGACAACAACAACUAAAACUGCAGUUGAGCGAACUGCCAGCAUUCCAUGCCCCAUUUUUAUUCGCAUUUCCCUCCCCUCUUUCCUUUUUUUUAGUGCAAUUUUAUGAUAAAAGAUCGGCAUUAAUAACAACUGGCAUUUCUUGUACAAUGUCUACUGGUGGACUUUUCCACUUUGCAAAUAUUUUGGGUACUCGAAAUAUUUCAUAAUAGUUGGCAUUUCUUGACUAUGCGAUGUCUACCGUAUUUUCUGAUGGACGUGAACUGAAAUUGAAAAAUCUGAAAUUUUUAAUUUUCUUUUUUUUUUUUUAUUUCACCUAACGUAACUCUCCCUCACCAGAAAAAGACGUGCAGUUGCCAAGCCGUUGUCGACUUUUUGAAAUGGAGAUGGAAAAUGCUGAUCUAAUGGAGUAAAUCAAAUGAAAUGAAAGUCUAAGAAGAUACGGGACAAAAUGUGAUAACAUAAAUGAAAAAAAAUAGGAUUUUGUUCGAGUGCUGACAUUUGUCCUUUUUCAACACUCUACGGUAAACACGGUCCGGAUUAAUAUCUGAAAAAUGUCUGGGCAACUUAAAUCGAAUUUUUUUCUUCUUUAAAAUUUAAUACUGAUAGCAAUCAAAAUGGAAUCAUUCCAAAAACGACAGGCUUGCACUGAUACAUUCAGAUUAUGAAAACGGGGUAGAAUCAAGAUCACCAGAGCAUCAUUUCCGGAGCUAUAAAUAUAUAUCUUUCAGGUUGAAUAGCAGAGUCAUUCAGUCGUGCACGAGAAGAAAUAAAAAUAAAUAAGAAAUCUCCAGCAUUUCGAAAGCAAAAAAGAAAAUAUCCUCUGCAUUUCCCUGAAUUGGCAUUCAACUCGGCGGACAACACGAAUCCGAAGCUCAGAAGAAUUUUUCAUUUGUUUUGUUUGCUUUUUGAAAUGUUGCCAAGUUGGGAGCUAAUUUUUAGCAGCUGCGUCGCGGAUAAAAAUUCUUGCAAUGAAGAAAGAAUGGAAGAGAUUGGUUCAAAUAGAAAUCACUCUUGUAAUAAAACCGCCCGUUAAAAGCGGAUGGAUCGAUUUUUCUAUCAAUUUCUUAAUUUUUCUUUUGAUAAACCUCCAAAAAAUAAAAUAAAAUUCAUGUAAGAUACCUGCACAAGAUAACCAAAGAAAUAAAUGAAAGAAGAAGA
rnacentral:lncRNA from 1 species